rnacentral:rRNA from 1 species
CAGCAGCCGCGGGAAUACGUAGGGUGCAAGCGUUAAUCGGAAUUACUGGGCGUAAAGCGUGCGCAGGCGGUUUGUUAAGACAGAUGUGAAAUCCCCGGGCUUAACCUGGGAACUGCAUUUGUGACUGGCAAGCUAGAGUAUGGCAGAGGGGGGUGGAAUUCCGCGUGUAGCAGUGAAAUGCGUAGAUAUGCGGAGGAACACCGAUGGCGAAGGCAGCCCCCUGGGCCAAUACUGACGCUCAUGCACGAAAGCGUGGGGAGCAAACAGGAUUAGAUACCCCUGUAGUCCCUGUCUCUUAUAA